GGAUGGGAUCAUACCAGCACUAAAGCACCGGAUCCCAUCAGAACUUCGAAGUUAAGCGUGCUUGGGCGAGAGAAGUACUAGGAUGGGUGACCUCCUGGGAAGUCCUCGUGUUGCAUUCC
rnacentral:rRNA from 1 species